GCCUGGGUGGCUCAGUCGGUUGAGCGUCUGACUACGGCUCAGGUCACGAUCUCGCGGUUUGUGGGUUCAACCCCGCGUCGGGCU
rnacentral:tRNA from 1 species